UCUCACUGGCCUGAGGAGGCACUGCGGCCAGAGAACCAGUAGAACCCAGUUUAGCUGCAUUUCUAAAUUUCCAAUGCUCAACCAGAACCUGCGCCAUGUGUUAGAGCAGGAAACUGAUCUGAGAUCAGAGAGAAAUGAUCAACAUCACUGAUCAAGACGACAGUUUACUGUUACGUUCUCCUCAGCUACGUACUGCUACCUCUGUCACAUAAUGUGAGAAAAUGCAGCUGACUUCAGGAUCAGAGACCCACGCUGAUCACUGAUCAGUAUUCAUCAGCUCCAUUAGGAGCUGCGGACUGACAAUUGAGCUGCUGAGGUGGCUGCAGGAGGGUGGAGCCUCAGGCCGGUCAGCUUUCUCUUUCAACCUCAGACGCAGUGUCUCACUGUGCCAUGAAUGGACACGCCAGGCUGUGAUGUGGCUACCUUUGAGGACAAAUUUCAGACUGAAGACCAGUCAACUGGGGACAGGUCAUCCAGUUUGGGACAAAGGAGGACUAGUUCAUGAACCUGAGCUGAGUAACAGAGACUCGAUCCUCCUGGACGUGUCAUCCUCAGACCGGUGGAGAGAUUCUUCCUGGAUGGUUCUUGUAUUGUUGCUCCAUCUUCUGCCUUAAAAUACUCCUAAUUAAUAACUAAUAAGUUUUUUGCUGAAAAAUUAGUUCACUGAACUUAGGUUGAAUAGUAAUUUCAACAUUGUUUAUGAAAGGCCUUUUUUGAAAUGUAAAAUUGAACUGAAAUGUUUACUGAAUUUGAGAAAAGAAAGACAGAUUUACAUUUGUCAGUUUAAAGAGUCACUUCUUCAUUUAAGGACUCUCUAAACUCUCAGUGUGUGUGUGUGUGUGUCUGUGUGUGUGUGUGUGUGAGUGUGUAUAACCUUCAGUUGCUCCACAGUGUUUUCAUUAUAAUGAGCAGAAACAACCUUCACAUGUGUUAAAGACACAGCAAAUUCACAUCAUAACUGUUUUCUUCAAACAACAAAAAGAAGAGUUUUAAUUCUAAGUCUGCUCCUGCUCUGUUUGUUUCUUUAAAAAUGAAUUUAAUGAGUUGAGUGAACUUUAUUUUGGUGUAAAUACAACACUGACAUAUACAGCAACCAUCUUAUAAGAAGUUAUGAUGAAGCUAACAGUCCCUUAUCUCCACCUCCAGCAGCUACAUGAUGAUUCACGUGGAGUGGUGUCUGUGUCCAGGGUUGCCUCUCUUUUAGCUCUGUGUUUGGUCUCCACCAGCUCCUGUGGCUCUUUAGCUGUUGAAUGCUCCACCAUGUUCACCAGCUGCUCUCUGACUGAGUCUGUCUGCUGUUCGCUGUGAAAGGUCUGUGGAAGCAAAACAAACUGAAAGAUGCUAAACCGCUCAGUAGAGCUGAGGACGGCUGUAGAAUGAGAUCAUCGGUGUGAGCAACACCUGUAAGUUAACACACAGUCAUUGGACCUGUUGUUGAGAUGAAAUAUUGAGUGCAGCUUUAAGCAGAGUGGUUGAAGGUUGAGGAGUGAAUAAAGAAGAGGCUCAGUUAUAGUAACAAGACUUUGUAUUUUGUUUUUCACCCACAGAUUGAACAUAUUCAAACUCACUGCACGACAUUUCUCUUCAUCACACAGAGGAUAUGAAGGUUGUCUUGUUCCCAGGUUCCUGUUUGCCUGUGGCAUUAGUGAGGGAGCAGUUUAAAGUCCACCCACACUCACUCCAACAGUAAACUGAUGUUUUUUUUUUUUUUUUUUUAAAUUCCCCCUUAAUCACAGAUCAAAUCUUUUGCAGCAUUCCUCUGUGUAUUUAGCAGCACCAGGGCUCAGUACUCUAACUGGUCUUUAUUUAUGCCUCAAAUCUGUUGUGCUGAAGAACUUCUACACUUCACACUGAUUCCUAAUCGUUUGUGAAAGUGCAACUUCAGAGGUGGCAAAGUGCUCCCACGUUGUCUUUAUGGCUCCUGACUCAGGAGCUCAUAUCACAGAAAUACACUUGUUUUCCAGUCAGCCGUCUUUCAGCAGCAGAACAAAGUUCACAGGUUCUUACAAUUACAAGUUUAUCUGACAGAACUUCAAUAAAUGAGGCUAACAAAGCUUCAGAGGACCUGUCAUAGAAAACAUCGACGCAGCCAACAGUCCUCCAGUCCAACUAAAUAAAAGCAUGGUUGUAUAAAUGUUGUUGAGUCACUAUGACGCACAAUAUUAAAACAGUGAAAGAGUAAAAUGUGUGAGGCAAAUUAAGAAAUAUAGCAGAAAACAGCUGAGUACAUAUUCUGUAGAAGCAGGAGUAUCAGUUUUGCUUACCUCUAUAAAUUUCAACACAUUGGGAAGCAGAACUUAGCAGGAAGUCUGUAUCUGUUUUCCAGACCACAAUUACAUAAGCUAGGUACUGUGGAAACCAGCAGGGAAACUUUUCUUCAUGUAAUCCAUCUCAUAUAAAAUGAGUCACACUGUCAUAAUGUUCAGCCUAAACAUAUUUAACUAAUUGGGUUUGACAAAAGAAGCUGGUUAACUGCCAACAAGUCCUCAAUCCAACACAACAAGUCAUUUAUCAGAGUAAAAUGAAUCAGUGUUGUGUUGCUGUCGCUGCAGAGAUGCCACUGUUGGUCCACUGCUUUGCUCCAGACUGGAAUAUCUCAACAACCAUCAAACAGUUGGUCAUAAAACCUUAUUCAGAUGAUCAUUAUAACCAGAGGAUGAAGCUUGAGACUUCCUGUAGCGCCACCAGCUGGUUGACACGUUACAUUCACAGUGAAAUCUCUUGACAACUAUAGAAUAAGACACGAUGAAGCUUGGUCCAGACGCUCAGGUCCUCCUUAUCUUCACCUGCUCACAAUAUCUUAACUGGAACAAACCUGAAUACAGAAUAUGCAUCCAUGGUCCCAAGACAACGUAUCCUAACGACCAGUGAUCCCAGCUUUUCAUCUACCACCACCGCUAACUAGCAGAUGGACUGGCACCUAGUCGAUGGACUUGUAUGUAGUAGAUGGACAGCUAACUAGUAGAUAAACUGUUUAUUAGUAGAUGGACUGGUUACCAGAAGAUGGACUGGUUACUAGUAGGUGGACUGGUAACAAGUAGAUUAACCAGGUACUGGCAGACGGAUUGGUAACUUGCAGAUGGACUGGUUACUAGAAGAUGUACUUUUUACUAGUAGAUGGACCAGUAACUAGAAGUUGGACCAGUUACUAGUAGAUGGAAUGUUUACUAGUAGAUGGACCGGUAACUAGUAGAUGGACUGUUUACUAGUUGAUGAACCGGUAACUAGCAGAUGGACUGGUUCCUAGAAGAUGGACUGGUUACUAGAAGGUGGACUGGUAGCUAGUAGAUUAACCAGUUACUGGCAGACGGAUUGGUAACUUGCAGAUGGACUGGUUACUAAAAGAUGGACUGUUAACUAGUAGAUGAACUGUUUGGACUGCUGGUUUGGACUGGUUACUAGUAAUGACUCUUCCUGUUCCACCAGCAUCAGAGUUUCACUUGGUCUUAACCAAAAUAAAACUGAACCUGUAGAACUCAUGACUUUCCCUUCAGCCUCAGUUUUCUUUGUGUGUGCUGUGUUUGAUUAAUCCUAAAUUUGAAUUGUGUAUGUAUGAUAUAAUAGAAGAACAUCAUGUGUAUCAGGUCCUCCAUCCUCUGUGUGAAUGCCCAGUUUUAAGGCCUGAGCUGAUGUUUGUAUUUGCUGACACUGACACAGUCGUCUUCUUCCAUCAUAGUUGAGAUAACAAGGCUACAAUUAUUUGUUGAUUGAUUGUUCAGUGUUUUAAAUGUCAGACAACAGUGAAAAUGUGUCAUUAUUCUGAUAAUUUCUUGUUUGCGUGACUAGCUGUCAAAAAUACAAAGAUGCUGACUUUGUUAUUAUUCAAAACUAUAGAAAACGAUGAUUAAAAUAUUCACACGAGGCUGAAAGAGGUCUGGAACGAGUUUUUGAAUAAACCACUAAACGAUUAAUCAUUUAUCAAACUUGUUGUCAAUUAAUCUUCUGUCAAUCAGUGCAGGUUGGUUUGUGGGUGCCUGGGGAGGUCAUGAAACUGCCAUAUACAAUGGAGGUCAGUAGGGAUCCAAGAGUUAGCAUGCUAAUGUUAGCAAUGACCUCAGAGCUCCUAGCAUUGCUUCGCUAACAGAAACAUGUUCAUGGUUGAGAUUAAGAAAAGAUUGUUGUCACCGUUAAAAGAAACGAGUGCUGACAGUCUUUAAUAUUUCACUCAUCACCUUUCAAAGUAACAGAACAGUGGUUUCUGCAGAAUUAUCUAAGACCCAGGCGCGUAGAGAGACACACUGAUUUAUAGAGAACAGCUGAUACUUCCUAGUGUGAGUGGCAGCUAACAGCUAGCACUUCCUCCAGCUGCCGUCCAUGCUGCUGGUCUCUGGGGGAAAACACAUAGGGCAGGUGUAUGAAAUAGUGAUAUGUUCCCAACCAGUUAGUUAGUUAGUUUAAAUCUUAGAAAUAUCUU